UGUCUCCAGUGUAGAGAAUAGCCGUUUUUGCCGUGACACAUUGUCCCCGUUUUUCUACACAAGUACUUUUAUCCUUCUGUGUGUAUUAAUACCCUGAAUCACCACUGACGUUUGAACAAUCCAUAUAACUGACUGUCCUAGUUGUUUUACGUUAUAUUGAGUGGAUAUCCGCUGUUGUGGAGGUGUGCAUCACACCGAAGGCCUUGUGAAUCAUCAACUGUGUGUAUAUAUGCUGGAACAUACUUCACAAGUUUGACUUCAUACAUUUGUUGCGCUCCAUCUGUUUUUCCAGAAUCACCUUUUUUUCUACCUUGAAAACCACGGAGAACACACUACUGGGUCAAAAAGGAGCAGCAGAACACCAUGUAUAAAGAUUUCCAUAUUUUUUAAGGAAUCAUCUAAAACCACUUACAAGUGACCCUUUCAACUAUUCCCAUUGGUUUAGAGUGGGUUAAGUGUUACCAACUACUCAAACAUCCCUAAUUAAAUCCAGUCUUGUUUCUUCAAUCAACUCUUCUUCAGCCUCAUGGAAAACAAAAUGGAUUCACUGGCUCUCAUAUUCCUAUCCAGAUGGUUCUUCAAGUCAAGUUUUCUCCAGAUUUCUAUGUUUUAUGGUUCUCAUUCCUAUUGGUAUGAUUGGUUGGACUCUUGUGAUUUUUCAGAAAAUUCUUUAUUAUGAGCAUCAAGCAAGAAAGAGGAAGAUGGCGAGCGCAUUGGUUUGUUUAUGGACAGUAUGUAUCCUCUGAUUGGUCCGUUUUUACCUUUGUCUCAAACCUAGCCCUCUCAUUGGCUAGUUAUGUAGGCUCUUUUUUCUCUGUAUUAUUUUAACUCUUUAUGUGAUUUCAUGUACUUUAAAUGCUGCACACUAGUAGUAAAAGAAAGCAAUGCAAAA